rnacentral:misc_RNA from 1 species
AACGCACGAGACCUGCGGACCUGCGGAAGGAUCAUUACCGAGUGAGGGCCCUCUGGGUCCAACCUCCCACCCGUGUUUAUCGUACCUUGUUGCUUCGGCGGGCCCGCCUCACGGCCGCCGGGGGGCACCUGCCCCCGGGCCCGCGCCCGCCGAAGACAUCAUUGAACUCUGUCUGAAGAUUGCAGUCUGAGUAGAUUGGCUAAAUCAGUUAAAACUUUCAACAACGGAUCUCUAGAUCGG